GGUGUUUGUUACGUUUAUACAUGUUUAGUGUUUCAAAGGAUUUUUCGUCAAAAAAAUUGCGAGUUUUGCCUUGUCAGUUGCUGAACCAGUAGCCUGCAUUCCUGCUAUCAACGUACCACAAGGGAUGCUGACACUUUAAGAAGACCCAUAGUAACCACUAUGCCUGAGAAAUGAACAUCACCAUCCUGUUCAGAUUUUAAAGCUUCUCUGCUCAGCCAGCCAUCCUCUAUACACUUCAGCUCUUCAUUGUGGCUUCUCUUCCUCUCUUCUUAGCCUGCCAAAUGCAAACAGGAAUAAAGGUUCAUCUCCAUUGCCAUACCAUGAAAUUGAAAAUGUCAUUGUUAAUCCUGCUGCCAAAUCGUCUUCCCGUACGAGUCAUGCAGUUUUAGAUUCCUCAUGGAAUUUCCUUGCAACAUCCACCCAGGCUGAAAAGGACAUCCUACUAGUUGUGUGGACCAAACCUGCCUCGCCGUCUUCGCCUCGCCAUCCUCGCCUCGCCGUCUUCGCCUCGCCAUCCUCGCCUCGCCGUCUUCGCCUCGCCAUCCUCGCCUCGCCGUCUUCGCCUCGCCAUCCUCGC
rnacentral:lncRNA from 1 species